GUGACAACAAAUCCAGUCCACAAGAUUCCUCUGCAUGACUCUUUAAAUUAAACUCACCUUGUUCAGUGGAACGAACUGCUUUCGAUACCAUGGAGCGUAGAACAGAGAGUGGCACGAUAGUGAAAAGGAACGGCAGCCUCACU